CCUACGGGAGGCAGCAGUGGGGAAUAUUGCACAAUGGGGGGAACCCUGAUGCAGCAACGCCGCGUGAGUGAAGAAGUAUCUCGGUACGUAAAGCUCUAUCAGCAGGGAAGAAAAUGACGGUACCUGACUAAGAAGCCCCGGCUAACUACGUGCCAGCAGCCGCGGUAAUACGUAGGGGGCAAGCGUUAUCCGGAUUUACUGGGUGUAAAGGGAGCGGAGAAGGCACUGCAAGUCCGGAGUGAAAGCCCAAGGCUUAACCAGGGGACUGCUGUGGAAGCUGGGGGGCGUGAGUGCGGGAGGGGCAGGCGGAAUGCCUAGGGUAGCGGUGAAAUGCGUAGAUAUUAGGAGGAACACCGGCGGCGAAGGCGGCCUGCUGGACCGUAACUGACGUUGAGGCUCGAAAGCGUGGGGAGCAAACAGGAUUAGAUACCCGGGUAGUC
rnacentral:rRNA from 1 species